rnacentral:rRNA from 1 species
UACAGAGGUCCCAAGCGUUGUUCGGAUUCACUGGGCGUAAAGGGUGCGUAGGUGGCCAGGUAAGUUUGGUGUGAAAUCUCCGGGCUUAACCCGGAAAUGGCAUUGAAUACUAUCUGGCUAGAGGUUUGUAGGGGGGACUGGAAUUCUCGGUGUAGCAGUGAAAUGCGUAGAUAUCGAGAGGAACACCAGUGGCGAAGGCGAGUCCUUGGACAACACCUGACACUGAGGCACGAAAGCCAGGGGAGCAAACGGG